AUUGAACGCUGGCGGCAUGCUUUACACAUGCAAGUCGAACGGCAGCGCGGGCUUCGGCCUGGCGGCGAGUGGCGAACGGGUGAGUAAUGCAUCGGAACGUGCCCAGUAGUGGGGGAUAGCCCGGCGAAAGCCGGAUUAAUACCGCAUACGACCUGAGGGUGAAAGCGGGGGACCGAAAGGCCUCGCGCUAUUGGAGCGGCCGAUGUCGGAUUAGCUAGUUGGUGGGGUAAAGGCUUACCAAGGCGACGAUCCGUAGCUGGUCUGAGAGGACGACCAGCCACACUGGGACUGAGACACGGCCCAGACUCCUACGGGAGGCAGCAGUGGGGAAUUUUGGACAAUGGGGGCAACCCUGAUCCAGCCAUGCCGCGUGCGGGAAGAAGGCCUUCGGGUUGUAAACCGCUUUUGUUCGGGAAGAAAUCCUCUGGGCUAAUACCCCGGGGGGAUGACGGUGCCGGAAGAAUAAGCACCGGCUAACUACGUG
rnacentral:rRNA from 1 species